rnacentral:lncRNA from 12 species
AAUGGAAUGGAAUGGAAUGGAAUGGAAUGGAAUGGAAUGGAAUGGAAUGGAAUGGAAUGGAAUGGAAUGGAAUGGAAUGGAAUGGAAUGGAAUGGAAUGGAAUAGAAUGGAAUGGAGUAACAUGCAGAACAGAAACAGCUUGCCUCUCUCCCUCCGCCAGGCUGCCCGGAUUGAAGCGCCUUGCCGCGCAGUGCAUCCCAGGGUGGGUCAUUGACAGAAGCGGAGAUGUGCAGAAGCAGCAAUCCUCCUGGCACGGCCAGCGGCUGUCCCCGUGCAGCAGAGCCGCGUCUGUUCCGUCUCGCUGCAGCCCGCACGGGACUCGUACAGCCGAGCGUUUGUCCCCGGGAUGUGAGCGGGGAACAGCGGGGCGCGCACCAGAACCGGAGCUCUUGGAGCCAAGGGAGCUGCACGCCUGAGGACCGCACUUGCUAAAUGCUGGGCUUAGAGAACACAUCCCUCCUGAUGAGAGGCUACAGUGCUGAAAUUGGCUGUGUGAUAUCACAGGCUGUCAGGUGCCAUCUUCAGUCCAUUAUGCUAAUAUUUUUUUUUAUUAUGGCAAUUGAGAAGAAAUCGGUUUUAAACAGAAAUGUGGUCAAAUAGAGGGGAUAACUGGACUCAAGAGACCUGGUAUUUUAGAUGGAUAAAAGAGACUAUCACUUAUGUGUACUGCUUUUCAGCUUCAAGAAAUCACAAUCAUUUUGAAGGGCCAAUAAGCUGAUAUAAGCUGCAGACAAACAAAAUUUCAUGCACUACUGACAUGAAGUAAUCUCUGAAUGACAUUUGGCACAUGGCAGACUACAGCCAGCAAAUGCACAGAACAAUAAACCAAAAAGUUAACAGACCUAACAAAAUCUUUCCCAGGAAUCUGCUUAGUGCUCUGAAUGAAUAUGUGCAUUAUUCAACAGAACUGGCAAACCCCAUCCAACAGGGAGCUAGCUGCAUUUAAAGGCAAGAACUAUUUAGUGAUGUAUCCCAAAAAAGUACUUCAAACUCUAUUUCAAUCUGCACAUGUAGAUGAUCAUCUCAAUAUUUAAAAAAAAAAAACAAAAAAACCUGACUAUAUUUAUUUUGACUACACUUUUUGGCUAAAACAUGGAUUGUAUUCUUCUUCCUGCCACUCACCACAUGCCCCAUCUCUUCCCACACCUUUUAGGUUCUGCUCUCCAAGAUUUAUUUCCUUUUCACAGAAAAAGAAAAAUUCUUUAGUAGGAACAACUGAGCAGAGGGAAUUAUAUUCAAACUUCAGCUUUCUGCAGAACUUCUGAUGGUUUGUGCAAAGUUUCUACAUGGCUGUGAAAUAUACUUGUGCUCCAAAUUUAAAAUUUAAAAUUUAGAUUGAUGUGCUAGUCAUGAUCUUAGUUAUCCAAAGUUAUUAUGCAAAUUCUGGACAUUAGACCAAACUGUGCCAGAAAUAUUAAAUUUCUUUUUCUGCAUUAUUAAAUUAGGUAAUCUAAGUAGGUUUUUAAAAUAAAGGAGAUAAAAGUCAAUUUAUCCAUAAUGGCACUUUCAAGCUGUGUUUUAUCAUUGAAAAUAGCUGUAUGAUUCCUGUGUAUUAAACUAAAAUGUACUGCCAAGAUGUGUCUUGUCGAUCAUCUAAUUCAGAUAUUCUUUUAUCUUUAAAAGCAAUGACUUUUAUACUUUACCAGAAGUUUUGAGUUGAUUCUGUUGUUCAUUCCUUGCACUCUGGUUGCCAGGAACAAAUGGCUCUCACUUCCAUUUUGCUGAGUCCUACACAAAUAAUGUAGCUACUGCCUAACUGAACUGAGAGGCUUGUGGUGGAGUCUGCAGGCUUAUUUUCUUAUAGUAUUAAGGCUAUUCAGUUAUGAAAUCCAGCAUGGACUGGCUUUUCAAGUUCUGAGCAAACCAAUAUUUAUAAACAGUGGAUUAAUAAAAGCAUAGUCUUGAGAAGAAUGACUUGAAGGAAAAACGAGUGUGGAGAACACUUGUCACUACUUUCCAUUCCCUAACAAUAUCUUUCAUUUAAUUUCCCUAUUUGUCAUGUGUGUGUUUCAAGUUUCCUGCCUCCUCUGGCAACAUCUGACCCAUGAGGGUCUCAGUCCCCUGCCACCUCCCCUCAGCCUCAUCUCAGCUGCUGGUGACACAACACUGCUGGAGCUGUGGCUCACACCUUAGAGGACAUUGCUAAAGAGUUCAAAGAGCCUUGAGAAACUUCACAGGCCACAGCCAGCUAAAGGACAAGUAAUAUUGUGAGACAGAGAAAACUAGCACCUACAGGAUAUAAGGUUUAAAAAUCACUCUAAGACAAGGCAUUAAAUUAAAA